rnacentral:rRNA from 1 species
AUUGAACGCUGGCGGCAUGCCUUACACAUGCAAGUCGAACGGUAACAGGUCUUCGGAUGCCGACGAGUGGCGAACGGGUGAGUAAUAUAUCGGAACGUGCCCAGUAGUGGGGGAUAACUGCUCGAAAGAGCAGCUAAUACCGCAUACGACCUGAGGGUGAAAGGGGGGGAUCGCAAGACCUCUCGCUAUUGGAGCGGCCGAUAUCAGAUUAGCUAGUUGGUGGGGUAAAGGCCUACCAAGGCAACGAUCUGUAGUUGGUCUGAGAGGACGACCAGCCACACUGGGACGGAGACACGGCCCAGACCCCUACGGGAGGCAGCAGUGGGGAAUUUUGGACAAUGGGCGCAAGCCUGAUCCAGCCAUGCCGCGUGUCUGAAGAAGGCCUUCGGGUUGUAAAGGACUUUUGUCCGGGAGCAAAUACCCAGUGCUAAUAACGCUGGGGGCUGAGAGUACCGGAAGAAUAAGCACCGGCUAACUACGUGCCAGCAGCCGCCGUAAUAC